CACUACCCGCCACUCCUACCAAUUGAAUGAUCUGCUGAAAUGUUCAAAUUGCAACGACAUGGAAAGUUCAUUGCCUGCGACAUCACGAGAAGUCCAUUGAACCUUAUCAUUUAGAGAAAGGAAAAGUCGUAAAAAGGCUUCUAUAAGUGAACCUGUGGAAG
rfam:Capsicum annuum cultivar Zunla-1 chromosome 5, whole genome shotgun sequence